CUUUCUUUGCUGGCGACCGGCGCACGGGUGAGUAACGCGUAUCCAACCUGCCCUUUACUCGGGGAUAGCCUUUCGAAAGAAAGAUUAAUACCCGAUAGUAUAAUGAUUCCGCAUGGUUUCAUUAUUAAAGGAUUCCGGUAAAGGAUGGGGAUGCGUUCCAUUAGGUUGUUGGUGAGGUAACGGCUCACCAAGCCUUCGAUGGAUAGGGGUUCUGAGAGGAAGGUCCCCCACAUUGGAACUGAGACACGGUCCAA
rnacentral:rRNA from 1 species